AGAUCUUAGAAACACAGGAAGUAGGCUGUGUGUUUUAAUUUGAAGCCACAUUUAUCGGGAGGCUAGACGAGAUCACUUCCUCUUGUUUUCUGGGUUCUAAGUAUAAGAGACUGGAUUUGGCUAAGUAAUCAGUAGAUGGAACUUCUGGACCGCUCCCUGUGAAUUCAAGUGUGAGAUCCACAGUGCCGACCGCCUGUGUAUCCCUUGUGCCGACUCAGAUUCCCCUUGCAUUAAGCAUGAACAAGCUACAGACUGGUUCCAGUGCAAUUGAUUGAUUGAUUGAGAGGAGUGAGGAGAGGCGAAAGUAGUACAUCGAGAUGUGACGUAGGGCAAAGGUAGAGGUGACAAAGGCUAAACAAGAGGCAUAUGAAGACAUGUACAUCAGGUUGGACACGAAAGAAGGAGAAUAGGAUCUCUACAGGUUGGCCAGACAGAGGGAUAGAGAUGGAAAUGUGUUGACUGGUGCCAGUAGUGUGCGAAAUUGAUGGAAAGAACACUUUGAGAAGUUGAUGAAUGAAGAAAAUGAGAGAGAGAAGGAAGAGCUGAAGAGGCAAGUGUGAAGGACCAGGAAGUGGCAAUGAUUAGUAAGGUGGAAGUUAGAAAGGCACUAAAGAGGAUGAAAAACGGAAAGGCAGUUGGUCCUUAUGACAUACUGGUGGAGGUAUGGAAGCAAUUUGGAGAGAUGGCUGUGGAGUUUUUGACCAACUUAUUCAACACAAUACUAGCGGGCGAAAAUAUGCCUGAAGAAUGGAGGAAAAGUGUUCUAGCUCACAUUUUUAAGAACAAAGGCGAUGUUCAGAGCUGUGGGAAUUAUAAAGGAAUAAAGUUGAUGAGCCACACGAUGAAGUUAUGGGAAAGAGUAGUGGAGGCUAGAUGCUGGACAGAAAUAAGUAUGUGUGAGCAACAGUAUGGUUUCAUGCCUAGAAAGCGUACAACAGAUGCAUUAUUUGCCUUGAGGAUGCGAGUGGAAAAGUACAGAGGAGGUAAGAAGGAGCUACAUUGUGUCUUUGUGGAUCUAGAGAAAGCCUAUGACAGAGGACCAAGAGUGGAACUGUGGUACUGCAUGGACAACUCUAGUGUGGCAGAGAAAUAUAUUAGAAUAGUACAGGACAUGUAUGAAGACAGCAGAACAGCGGUGAGAUGUGCCAUAGGUGUGUCAGGAAAAUUUAAAUUUGUGGUGGGACUGCUUCAGUGUUCUGUGCCCCUUCCUGUUUGCUGUAGUAAUGGAUAGGCUGACUGACGAGUUUAGACUGGAAUCCCCUUGGACCAUGAUUUUCCCAAAUAAUAUUGUGAUCUGCAGUGAGAGCAGGGAGCAGGCAAAGGAACUAUUAGAAAGAUGGAGGUAUGCACUGGAAAGGAGAGCAAUGAAGAUUAGCCAAAGUAAAACAGAAUAUAUGUGCGUGAGUAAGAGGGGUGGAGGAGGAAGAGUGAAGCUCCAGGGAGAAGAGAUAGCGAGGGUGGACCACAUCAAUUACUUGGGGUCAACAAUGCAGAGCAAUGGUGACUGUGGUAAUGAAGUGAAGAAACGGGUUCAAGUGGGAUGGAAAAGUUGGUGGAAGGUGUCUGGUGUUCUUUGUGACAGAAGAGUAUCCGCUCGGAUGAAGGGCAAAGUUUAUAAAAGAGUGGUGAGGCCAGGCCUGAUGUACAGAUUUGAGACAGCGGCUCUGAAGAGACAACAGCAAGCAGAACUGGAGGUAGCAGAAAUGAAGAUGAUGAGGUUCUCGCUUGGAGUGAACAGAUUGGAUAGGAUUAGAAAUUAGCUCAUUAGAGGGACAGCCAAAGUUGGAUGUUUUGGAGACAAGGUUAGAGAGCGCAGACUUCGAUGGUUUGGACAUGUUCAGAGGCAAGCGAGUGGGUAUAUUGGUAGAAGGAUGCUGAGGAUGGAGCUGCCAGGCAAAAGAGCAAGCGGAAGACCAAAGAAAAGGAUGAUGGAUGUUGUGAGGUAGGACAUGAGGACAGUGUGAGGAAGAUGCACGAGAUAGGCUUAAAUGGAAAAAGAUGACACGCUGUGGCGACCCCUAACGGGACAAGCCAAAGGAAAAAGAAGCCCAUCUCAAGAACAUAGCUAAAGUGAAGACUUGUAUGUGUUAAGGAGACCAGGAAAAGCUGUUAUCUCAAGUAGAUUUGACUACUGUAAUCGUUUUCUGAUUGGACUCCCCAAAAAGAGCAUUAAACAGCUGCAGGUCAUUCAGAACGCUGCAGCUCGGGUUCUGACUAGAACAAAGAGGUCAGAGCAUACAAGUCCAAUUCUAAAGUCCUUUUCACGGGCUUCCAGUCAGCUUUAAAAUAGAUUUUAAAGUUUGCUACAAGUCUAUAAAUCACUAAAUGGUUUAGGUCCUGACGACAUGAAAGAAAUGCUUACAGAAUACAAACCCAGUAGAGCUCUGAGAUCAACUGACUCAGGUCAAAUAGUGGAGUGUAGAGUCCAACACACACACGGUGAAGCAGCAUUUAGCUAUUUUCGUCACACAAAUGGAAUAAGUUGCCAAGAGAGAUGACGUCAGCCCCAAGUGUCAAUGUUUUUAAAUCCAGGUUGAAAACUCGUCUUUUUUUUCCUCAUGCUUUUUGAGUAUUUCUAAUUUCAAUUAGAUUUCUUGCACUGUUCACUGUUUUUAAUUGUACUUUUCUUUUUCUUUUUUUAUGUAUAUAUGUUGUUAUUUUUAUUUUUUUCCCCGUUUUAAAUGUUUUAUCUCUUUUUUUCAAAUCAUUUUCAUCAUGUAAAGCGCAUUGCGUGAUCUUGUGUAUGAAAUGCGCGAUAUAAACACAUUUUCCUCUGCUUGGUGACCCAGCCAUGAGUCAUGGGGGAGGCUAUAAAUGCCUUUUGGGAGGAAAAACACCCGGGAAUGAGUUUAAAUAAACCUUUAUUGUCCAUAAAGAAGAUAUCUAAAUGUUAUUUGUCUCUGUGAUAUUGCUUCUUGUGGGUACUUUAAUUUUAUGAAAUACAUGACUAUAUCCUUAAAAUCGUUAUUUUGCAGAAAUACUCAGUAUGCAUCCUUGUAUGCCUGACACAUGUCAGGCUAUUCAUAUUCAGCGAUUGGAUAUUGUGUCAGGGAAGUUGCUCCAUGGCCAAACAAAAGUCUGACAGUGUAACUGUAGAUCUGUUCUUGGUCUUGCCCAACAGGACCUUAAGAUUCUUACCAAACUGCUCAGGAGUCAGCAUCUUCCGCUUUCGACCUUCAGUGUUGAACAUCCUGAAGACAUGGCUUGCUCUGGGUAGGGACACUGAGGUAUCUCCAUAUGUUACUUCGUCUUUCAUUCUCUUGGUCUAUGUCUUUAGGUCACUCAUCAACAUGUUCAGCUGCUAUGAAUGGUCCGCCUUGGUCCUUCAGUCGGUCCAAAAUAUUUAGUUUUCUGUUCUCAACAUUCAGCAGAUUAGCUUCCUUCUUACUAAACCCAGCAGCUCUAAGAUCCUGCUGGCGUUUGUUCCGGUCUGCAGUAAUAUUAUCCAUAAUCUUGACCACUGGGCCCAUUUUACGGAAAUCACUUGAAGCAUCUUUAUGGCGCAAGUCUUCAGCUUUAAUAAAUUGCCACAAAAUACAAUGUCCAAACUAGGCUUCUUCUUUAGCCGCUGAUCUGUAUUUCCAUACUGCCUUUCCAACUGCAAGUUGUGAACAGGAGCCUUGUCGAUAUUCUGGGCCUGUUCAAACACUGGAUAUUCUUUCUCAUAUCCUCCAAAAUCAUAAUAUUUGCCCCUCUGCAUGCCAAGGACAUCAGCCAUUUUGGGAAGAAUUCUGUUUGCCAAAGAUACACAUUCUUUGGCACGUGUAGUUGCCAUCUCUUUGACAGAUUCGACUACAUCAAGCUUGUAGUUUGCCUCGACUGCAUCAAAGAGAAACUGAGAAAUUCCACUGAAAGUAGGUUGCUGGAAACAGAAGACAUCUUCAUCAACUUCUAUGUUCUGGAGAUCACUGUCGAGUGAUACAACGAAUUCUGCAAGGCUUGUAUGUAUUGCUUUGCUUGAAAUAGUCUUUGCAUAAAAUGGAGCAACAAGGUGCAAGCCAAAGGCAGCAACAACAGCAAUAACUACUUUGGCUUAUUCAAGAGAUAAGGCAGGCUAGCUUGUUGGUAAUGUACUCAUGGCUACUCAGGAAGCUCCUGAAAUCAUCCCAGUGAUGGCACAUGACAGCACAUAAUUUUGAAAGUGCACCAAAACGGGCAUCCUUCAUUAGAAAUAGAUGAGUUGGCUUGUGUUUUUGGUGGAUGAAGACUUUGUAAUCCUUAUAAUAGUUCCAUGGUUUUUGAAUGUUGUCUGGUCCAAAGAGGAGGAGACAGCUGUCAUGGAGACUGUAUCUUUUCUUUGGUCAAUAUCCAGGUCUAAAAGGAAACAAUUGAAUAGGUUUUGCAUUCCCAUCUUAUCCUCAAUACUGUUGACAACUUUGGACAUACCAUGAUCAAAUCCAAGUGUUGUGUGACUAUCACAAAAGAUUUGUCCAGCUGUUUCAUCUCAGUUGAACUUACUUGCCAGUGCAGCCGCCACACCUUUGUUGUGAGCAGUGGAGUCAGUCAUGUGAACAUCUACAGCUUUGUAGAGUUCCUGUGCUGUAUGUCCAGAUGCAACUUCUUGAAGUCACGUGUGACUUACAUCAAUGCAAAAAUUAUACUUGGAGAAUUAUGGUUUUGGUAGUGGUCAAACGGUAACUUGGUAUUGUUAAUGGUCAAUCAAGUGGCAAAUUUUCCUUUAAAUGUUGUAGACCUUCACUCGUCAAAUUAGUAAUUGAAUGCAUGCAUUCAGUUUGGCCACAUAAUGGUCUACAUGAUAUUGAUGAUAAACUCUCUGUGUGCUAUUUAGGCAAAAAUGCGUGUAUCUGCGGUUUUCACAUAUAUGCCAGUAGCCAAGAGAAGCCAACUCUAAAUGAAAAAUGAUGUUGAAAAAUAUAGUUUUGAUGGGUAUGUGGUUCAUUUGAAUUCAUUCCCGGCAUUUAUAGCCCCACUCUACCAUGGCCACUUGGCUGGUAUGCACGGAUCAUGAUUUUGCAUAUAAGCUAAACUUGUGCACUGAGUGAAAACAAUUCUAGGCAUUUAUUAAUGAAUUAGGCUAUUAUCUUACAUUUGUAAACUCGCAUCAAAUUCUACUUUCUUCCCUCAAAAACCUUUUGAGGAACAAAUAAUAAUAAAGAACACAUUGCAUUAGUCACUCAAACUCCAUGUUUACUUAUAGUGCUGUGAAAAACGUAUUUGCCUCUUCCCUGUGCCCCAAGUGUGAAUGAUUUUAAUACCAAGUUGAAAACUUAUUUUUUUACUCAUGAUUUUUCAAGUAUUUCAAAUUGUCAUGAUAUUUCUUGCACAGUACACUGUUUUUGAUUGUAAUUUUAUUUUUCAUUUUUUUCAUGUAAAUAUUGUAAUUUUUAUUGUUUUUUUUUCAUUUUAAAUGUUUGAACACUUUGUUUUCAAACCCUUUUAAUCAUG